CAGUCGCCGCGGGAAUACGAAGGGUGCAAGCGUUAAUCGGAAUUACUGGGCGUAAAGCGUGCGCAGGCGGUUUGUUAAGACAGAUGUGAAAUCCCCGGGCUCAACCUGGGAACUGCAUUUGUGACUGGCAAGCUAGAGUAUGGCAGAGGGGGGUGGAAUUCCGCGUGUAGCAGUGAAAUGCGUAGAGAUCUGGAGGAAUACCGGUGGCGAAGGCGGCCCCCUGGACGAAGACUGACGCUCAGGUACGAAAGCGUGGGGAGCAAACAGGAUUAGAUACCCGAGUAGUCCCUGUCUCUUAUAU
rnacentral:rRNA from 1 species